AGGUGAUAAAAAGAGAAGGUAAAAUGGCUGAGUAAGCAUUAGGCUGUAAACCUAAGAACAGAGGUUGANGCCCUCUUUUUGCC
rnacentral:tRNA from 1 species